AUGCCAUGCUCCAAAAGGCCGACGGGGAGACCUGCUUCUGGGUCAGGGUUUCGUACGUAGCGGAGCAGCUCCCUCGCUGCGAUCUAUUGAAAGUCAGCCCUCGACACAAGGGUUUGUGAUGGGGUGUG